UGUAGAUAAUGGUGGGAUCAAAAAAUAUGACAGUGUUUCCGGACUUUCUGAGCAGCCGAGAGAUCAAAUACGUCGUUCACAUGGUUAGACGGUUGUGUGGACAAAAACAAAAAGUAUAAGUCAGACUAUGGAAUGUUCUGCUUCUGCAUUGCAGACAGUGAGCAUGACUGGAGGAAAGGAACUGAGCAAUACAAGUUCAUUGGAGGUGAUGACCAACUUGAACGGCGGGAAAAGAGAAAAACAAGAGUUCCAACAAUUAGUAACAAAAUAGUUGAUAUACCACCCGAUGAGUAUUGCUGGAGGAACUAUAGCCAGAAACCCAUCAAAGGCUCUCCUCAUCCCAGGUUAAAAAGUCUUGCAUACUUAUCAAAACUGCAUAAGAUGGCUUAUUCAAAUUGAUUAUGCUGGAAUUCGUGACUGGCACCAGUUCGCAGAUACUCGACAAGCCAUGCUUGCUGUCAUAGAGAGUUGAGUUAGCUCAUAAUUUUUAUGCAUGUUUUUUCAGUAGCUAGCUUAUGACAUUGUAGGAUUUACGUUCCAGUGCCAAUAUAUUUGAUUUUUGGCUUUAAGUUACUAUGACAGCAGAAUCUAUCAUGCCAACAAUGAUGCUAUGCAGGUUCAUAGAUUUUGUAUUCUGUGUUUUCUUUGCCUCCUUGCUGCCUAAUGUGCUUCAAUCAAUAUGGAACAUGCUAUAAAUAAGAGAACCUAGGGAGGGAUGACAUCAAGAGAUUGCUUACGCUAUAUAAUGUGAUCAGAAUGUAGCUUAUGGUGAUGUUUACAUUGCGCUGUAAACAUGUAUUAAUCGUAGAUUUUGGUCAUAAUGUGAUUGGAUUGAUUUGAAUGAGAUCAAUUGUUUGCUUAUGCAGUAACGCUACAUAAUGUGAUUGGAUUGUAGCUUAUAUUCGCAUUGAGCUGUAAACGUGCUGCUGUAGAAAAUAAACUGGCAUAAAGUGGGUUGGGUUUUGAAUUUUUGAUGUACUAUGUGCUAUCUCACAGAUAACAUUCCAGGAGGAGAUCUUGAAACAAUUUUUCGUUUGAAGUUCACUUUUAGGCUUUUAGCUAUAACUGUUGGUCCUGUAGAUUAUGAAACUACCUGCUAUCUGUUUCAAGUAUUUGUCUAGCUAUGUGAGUUUUUCCAACUAGAUGAGGCUUCUAACAAUCAGUGCCCUCAGUGGCCAAUUAUGUUAAUCUUCUGCGGAACCAACUAUGA